CAAAGACAUCCUGUCUGUGAGGAAAUACUGGUGUGAAGUGUCUCAGCAGCAGUGGCUAGAAUUGUUUUCCCUGUACAUCAGGCUGUAUCUCAAACCAUCACAGGACAUUAAUAGAGUUUUAGUGGCUAGAAUAAUUCAUGCUGUCACCAGAGGAUGCUGCUCACAGACUGAUGGAUUACCUUCAAAGUUCUUAGAUCUUUUUUCCAAGGCUAUUCAGUAUGCCAGGUAAUCCUACCACUUUGUUUCCCAUUGCAUCAAACUGCGUUAGAUCUUCUCGCCAUGACCAUGUUGUAGAUUUAGUGACUAAAUUAGACUGCCUUUUCAACAGUGGGUAUUCAGUUGCUCAGAUUUGUGAUGUAAAAUGUGAUUAUUCAGUAUAGUUAUAGUAGGUAGUGAUCAAAUCAGGAUAUUCCUAUUUUCUUGAAUACUAAGUUUUUAUUAUACAUAACUGGAUAGUCAUAUGUUUCGUUGUGAUAUUUCAUUUUUGUAUGCAUCUUGACCUCUGUUUUCCAUCCUAUAUGAAGAAA
rnacentral:lncRNA from 1 species